rnacentral:rRNA from 1 species
UAGGGAAUCUUCCGCAAUGGGCGAAAGCCUGACGGAGCAACGCCGCGUGAGUGAUGAAGGUCUUCGGAUCGUAAAACUCUGUUAUUAGGGAAGAACAAAUGUGUAAGUAACUAUGCACGUCUUGACGGUACCUAAUCAGAAAGCCACGGCUAACUACGUGCCAGCAGCCGCGGUAAUACGUAGGUGGCAAGCGUUAUCCGGAAUUAUUGGGCGUAAAGCGCGCGUAGGCGGUUUUUUAAGUCUGAUGUGAAAGCCCACGGCUCAACCGUGGAGGGUCAUUGGAGACUGGGAAACUUGAGUGCAGAAGAGGAAAGUGGAAUUCCAUGUGUAGCGGUGAAAUGCGCAGAGAUAUGGAGGAACACCAGUGGCGAAGGCGACUUUCUGGUCUGUAACUGACGCUGAUGUGCGAAAGCGUGGGGAUCAAAAAGG